rnacentral:lncRNA from 1 species
UUAGUUUGGAUGAUAUUUUUGAAAGAAAAAUUAAAAACAGCAUGUCAAAAUGCAAAAAGAAAAAAUUCAACCACGUGAGACGGCCUAAUCAGUAGCCACGGUGAACCAGAGCACGCUGUGUGGCAAAACAUGCUAAUAUUGGUGCCACGCAAAAGGCCACGUUGACGAUCUGCGUGUCCAGCGAUCCGACGACCCAAAUUUAAACCUGCGCGCCUGAAUGACUAAGAUGCAUUCCCUCCUUAGGCUCGAUCAGACGAACGAAAUCAAUCGCGAUGAACGGUCUGAAUUCGCCCACACAAUCAGCCUAAACAUGCAACAAUUGGAAGACUCUCCUCGCUCCACGUCGACGCAAAUGGAUGGCCCAUAUCGACACGGGAUAAAUAUAUAAACAUUACGUUGUAGAGGAAUCUUGACCCUAGCCGCACCUGCUCUCGCCAGAGAAGGAGACCGACGUCUGGCCACUAUCAUACCGAAGCCACUGCCAACAGCUAAAAAAGGUAAAAUUCUCCCCUACCCGUUUGAAAUUCGAUUUCGAGUCUCUUCGUGGACAUAUCG